AUUUUUUUGUGUAUCGCGAAUUAGGCAGGAUUUUCUACUUCUGCCUGGAGGAUCUUCGGCGAGGAUUUCAAUCGCAUUUACUGAAGUAUUGCAUUGUUAUAAGCGAUCGAUCUUCUGCACCAUCUUGGCGAGUGGAAAGUAUUAUAAAAACUACAACAAGCCUUCAAAAUCAUCUCUCGAAUGGAUUGACUCCAGGAACGCGUGCCGCAAUCUGCACUUUUGAAAACGUCAACCGUCCACCGCGCCUUUUCACGGGCGGGAAUAACCAGUGCUCGACGUGAGAUUGACGCUUUUAAGUUGUCAAAAAGGGCAAAGGUGAAAGCCUGACGUACUGGCUCGAGGGACAUGAUCCAAGCUACAAGAUCGACCAAAUCAAGCCACCCGAACAAAACUUGUAAACAACCAGAAUAUUAUCCCAACAUUAUCUGCAACGCAUUUGGAUCAGCAAUUUUUUGUAAAGAGGUGAUGGCAGAUCUACCAGCUCGCUUCACAUCAGAGAGCUCUCUUGAGAAGCACUAUAGAAGCACUAUAAGGCCCAGGAGAAGGACUGCUUCUCACGGCUAGAACAGACUCGGACCAGAGCUCUCUUGAGAAGCACUGUACGGCUCAGGAGAAG